rnacentral:tRNA from 1 species
CUAGGAUAGUUUAAUAAAACAUUAGGUCGUGACCCUAACAAUAGAACUAACCGUUCUUCCCAGCU